rnacentral:rRNA from 1 species
UACGUAGGGUGCAAGCGUUGUCCGGAAUUAUUGGGCGUAAAGAGCUUGUAGGCGGUUUGUCGCGUCUGCUGUGAAAUUUCGGGGCUCAACCCCGAACUUGCAGUGGGUACGGGCAGACUAGAGGUAGGUAGGGGAGAUCGGAAUUCCUGGUGUAGCGGUGAAAUGCGCAGAUAUCAGGAGGAACACCGGUGGCGAAGGCGGAUCUCUGGGCCUUACCUGACGCUCAGGUGCGAAAGCUAGGGGAGCGAACAGG